AAAAUUACGAUGUUAUACGAUAAUUUAGUAGAUUCUGCUAUUGUAUUUUCAGGUAAUACUGCCAAUAUUUUAGAGUUUUUGCUCAAAACGCUUGCGAAAGCUUACGAACGGUUGCUUUCGCAAGAAGCAUGACGUGAAAGGUUUUAAAACUCUUCGUAUGUACACGUAUCGUUCACGUUCGAUAGAAUACAAUUCACAAUUAAUUUUAGCCACUAGUUGAUCUUUUCAGUUGAAAAUCAAGAAAUGCUCAACUUGAAUUUGUAUUUUUUUAACGAAUCCUUACGAGAAGUUGUCUUGGCCAGCCGGUCAAAAAAAAAUCAAAGUUGGGACGAAACUUUUUCGACUAUUGCGCUCAACAAACGUUCGAGCGAGUCGUAUUUUGAUUCAAAGGCCAAGAAGUAAAAUAUGUUUACGGCUCAGAAUUACUUCAAUUGAAUGCCUU